CCGGCAUGAGGCUCUCGGUCGACAGCAGCCUGUUCUCCACAUAGGGGCGGGCGAUCCGGUCGAACGACGUGGUGCUGUCCAGGUCGGCGAUGUCGGCCCA
rnacentral:tRNA from 1 species